rnacentral:tRNA from 1 species
CGGGGUGUGGCGCAGCCUGGUAGCGCACUUGUUUUGGGAACAAGGGGUCGAAGGUUCGAAUCCUUUCACGCCGACCA